GCAAGUCGAGGGGUAACAGGAGUGCUUGCACUCGCUGACGACCGGCGCAAGGGAGCGUAACGCGUCUAGAACCUACCUUUUACUGAGGGAAAGCCUUCAGAAAUGAAGAUUAAUACCUCAUGGUAUUGUAAACUGGCAUAGGUUUAUAAUUAAAGAUUUAUUGGUAAAAGAUGGCUAUGCGUCUUAUUAGCUAGAUGGUAAGGUAACGGCUUACCAUGGCAACGAUAAGUAGGGGCCCUGAGAGGGGGAUC
rnacentral:rRNA from 1 species